rnacentral:rRNA from 1 species
GUGGGGAAUCUUGCGCAAUGGGCGAAAGCCUGACGCAGCCAUGCCGCGUGAAUGAUGAAGGUCUUAGGAUUGUAAAAUUCUUUCACCGGGGACGAUAAUGACGGUACCCGGAGAAGAAGCCCCGGCUAACUUCGUGCCAGCAGCCGCGGUAAUACGAAGGGGGCUAGCGUUGCUCGGAAUUACUGGGCGUAAAGGGCGCGUAGGCGGACAGUUUAGUCAGAGGUGAAAGCCCAGGGCUCAACCUUGGAAUUGCCUUUGAUACUGGCUGUCUUGAGUUGGGGAGGGGUGAGUGGAGCUCCGAGUGUAGAGGUGAAAUUCGUAGAUAUUCGGAAGAACACCAGUGGCGAAGGCGACUCACUGGCCCAAUACUGACGCUGAGGCGCGAAAGCGUGGGGAGCAAACAGGAUUAGAUACCCUAGUAGUCC